AGGACGAACGCUGGCGGCGUGCUUAACACAUGCAAGUCGAGCGGAAAGGCCCUUCGGGGUACUCGAGCGGCGAACGGGUGAGUAACACGUGAGUAAUCUGCCCAUCGCUUCAGGAUAGCCAUCGGAAACGGUGAUUAAUACUGGAUAUGACAUUCCUUCGCAUGUUGGGGUGUGGAAAGUUUUUUCGGCGGUGGAUGUGCUCGCGGCCUAUCAGCUUGUUGGUGGGGUAAUGGCCUACCAAGGCUUUGACGGGUAGCCGGCCUGAGAGGGUGACCGGCCACACUGGGACUGAGACACGGCCCAGACUCCUACGGGAGGCAGCAGUGGGGAAUAUUGGACAAUGGGCGGAAGCCUGAUCCAGCAACGCCGCGUGAGGAUGACGGCCUUCGGGUUGUAAACCUCUUUCAGCACAGACGAAGUUUUGCUUUUUUGGUGUAAGUGACGGUAUGUGCAGAAGAAGGACCGGCCAACUACGUGCCAGCAGCCGC
rnacentral:rRNA from 1 species